GAUGAACGCUAGCGGGAGGCCUAACACAUGCAAGCCGAGCGGUAGAGAUCUUUCGGGAUCUUGAGAGCGGCGUACGGGUGCGGAACACGUGUGCAACCUGCCUUUAUCAGGGGGAUAGCCUUUCGAGAGGAAGAUUAAUACCCCAUAAUAUUUAGAAUGGCAUCAUUUUAAAUUGAAAACUCCGGUGGAUAGAGAUGGGCACGCGCAAGAUUAGAUAGUUGGUGAGGUAACGGCUCACCAAGUCUGCGAUCUUUAGGGGCCUGAGAGGGUGAUCCCCCACACUGGUACUGAGACACGGACCAG
rnacentral:rRNA from 1 species